AUUAAAUCGCCAAUCAGUGUGUGUUUGGACUUUUCUGAGCUUCUUCAACCUUGGUGUGUAAUGUAAAAAUGAAAAGUGUUGGUUGGAUGUUAGAUACAUAUCUAGAGCGGGGACAUUUAAUUAUGAGCCACAUUUUUGAACCGGAAGUACUCAGUUGUACUGUCUGUGUUCCUCAAGAAACUUGUUUGUUGUUUUAAUUCGCGGAGUAAUACAGCACCUGUGAAACAAUGGAUGUUGAAGACAGGACUUACGGUGGUUGUGAAGGCCCUGAUGCCAUGUAUGUAAAGCUGAUCUCUUCAGAUGGCCAUGAGUUUAUUGUG